rnacentral:rRNA from 1 species
GGCUUGUUGAUAAUAAUUUCAGGUCUGACCUGCCCGAUGAUUUAAAUUGAAUGGCCGCGGUAUAUUGACCGUGCAAAGGUAGCAUAAUCAUUAGUUUUUUAAUUGAAAGCUUGAAUGAAGGGUUUGAUGAGAGAGUUUCUGUCUUUAUAUUAAUUUAUUAGAAUUUUAUUUUUAAGUGAAAAAGCUUAACUGAGUAUAGAAGACGAGAAGACCCUAUAGAGUUUUAUAUUUUUACUUGAAAAUAAGGCUAUUGGUUUAAUAAAGUUAAUUUUUAGUUUAAAUAUUUUAUUGGGGUGAUAAGAAAAUUUAAUAAACUUUUCUUGAUUAAAAACAUUUAUUUAUGAUUAUAUGAUCCUAAUUUUUAGAUUAAAAGAUUAAAUUACCUUAGGGAUAACAGCGUAAUUCUUCUUAGAGUUCUUAUCGAAAGAAGGGAUUGCGACCUCGAUGUUGGAUUAAAAUAAAUUAUUGGUGUAGAAGCUAAUGUAUUGAGUCUGUUCGACUUUUAAAAUUUUACAUGAUCUGAGUUUAAACCGGUGUGAG